AAAGGGGCUUCGGCCCUGAGUAAAGUGGCGCACGGGUGAGUAACACGUAGGUAACCUGCCUCUAAGAUUGGGAUAACAUAUCGAAAGACGUGCUAAUACCGAAUGAGACCACAGUUUCCUCGGAAACAGGGGUCAAAGGUAGCCUCUAUUUAUAAGCUAUCACUUAGAGAUGGGCCUGCGUCCCAUUAGCUAGUUGGUAGGGUAACGGCCUACCAAGGCAAAGAUGGUUAGCUGGUCUGAGAGGAUGAUCAGCCACACUGGAACUGAGACACGGUCCAGACUCCUACGGGAGGCAGCAGUGGCGAAUAUUGCGCAAUGGGCGAAAGCCUGACGCAGCAACACCGCGUGAGUGAUGAAGGCCUUCGGG
rnacentral:rRNA from 1 species